UACGUAGGGGGCAAGCGUUGUCCGGAAUCAUUGGGCGUAAAGAGCGCGUAGGCGGCCCUGUAAGUCCGCUGUGAAAGUCAAGGGCUCAACCCUUGAAUGCCGGUGGAUACUGCAGGGCUAGAGUCCGGAAGAGGCGAGUGGAAUUCCUGGUGUAGCGGUGAAAUGCGUAGAUAUCAAGAGGAACACCUGAGGUGAAGACGGGUUGCUGGGCUGACACGUGACGCUGAGGCGCGAAAGCCAGGGGAGCAAACGGG
rnacentral:rRNA from 1 species